rnacentral:rRNA from 1 species
AUUGAACGCUGGCGGCAGGCCUAACACAUGCAAGUCGAGCGAGCGGCGGACGGGUGAGUAAUGUCUGGGAAACUGCCUGAUGGAGGGGGAUAACUACUGGAAACGGUAGCUAAUACCGCAUACCAUCAGAUCGGCCAAGAUUGGAUUAGCUAGUAGGUGGGGUAAGGGCUCACCUAGGCGACGAUCCCUAGCUGGUCUGAGAGGAUGACCAGCCACACUGGGACUGAGACACGGCCCAGACGCCUACGGGAGGCAGCAGUGGGGAAUAUUGCACAAUGGGCGCAAGCCUGAUGCAGCCAUGCCGCGUGUGUGAAGAAGGCCUUCGGGUUGUAAAGCACUUUCAGCGAGGAGGCGUUACUGGCAGAAGAAGCACCGGCUAACUCCGUGCCAGCAGCCGCGGUAAUAC